UGCAGACAUACCACGUUGAAACACUGAUUCUCGUACGAUUACCGAAGUUAAACAACGUCGAGCCUGGUCAGUCUCUGUAUGGGUAACUACUUAGGAAUAGCAGGUGCUGUAAG